CAAUGGGCAUCGCCGGCCCUCCGUUAGGACGCAUGCGUGUUAAUGUGCGUUGCCGGCCUUCCGUUAUGGCGCAUGCGUAUUAAUGGUCCGAUUUAAGCGGUGGUCUGAAUUUCAAAGGUCACAAUGCAUGCACAACUAUCAUUGAAUACGAGACUAUAAUGAAUAUACCAGUCUAGAAGCUGCACCAGCUCCUGCAUUAGCUGAACUCAUGAUUGCCUGAGGAGAUGGUUGACCACGACCUGCAGAAAAAAAGAAACGCAACAGGAAGCCGGAGAUCGUGGUGUCUGAUGCAGACCUUGCAGAGCGAUGGUGUGUAUUCGAGGAGGAUUUCCCAAUCCACAUUGAUGCAGCAUAUGAAGCAGAGCAAACAUUCGUCCCACAUGUCUUUCCGCCUAAGGAGGUUCAAGCCAGGUUGCAAUAGAAGUGUAACGUUCAAAAGAAAUGGUUCGACAAGACGAGUAGGCCACUGCCACCAUUGACCAAAGGACAGGUGGUCCGCUUACAGACUGACAAAGGCCAUGACCGUAUUCGGGUGGUUUCUGGUCGCGCUUCGGAGCCACGCUUGUACAUUGUUAGAACCGAUGGCGGCACCUUCCGACGCAACAGACAACAUCUUCUGCCUGUGAACGAGCCAAUCCCUCCUCCUUAUUACCCGGAUCGUACAAGUUCAUUUCAAUCUGCAUCUAGUGACCCCUGCAUGCUCUUGCCAGCACAACAAUCCAUGCCUGCGACAGUUCCUCUGUCUGUUCCAUCUUCGCCUGCUCCACAGUCUCCUGCUUCGACUCCAGAGGUGUUGGUCCACUCCCCCACAGCGGUGAAAUCACCAGCUCUUUCCCUGGAGAAAAAGAAUGGAGAUGGCCUCUAUUGAACACGUGCCAGUCAUGUUUGCAGGCCGGUCGUGAAGUAUCCGGACUAUGUUUGACUUUCCACCAGUCUGUCAUCGGUUGAGAUAUUUGCUUUGCUUAGUUAUGGGUAUACAUCGUUAUUGAUUCUUUAAGAGGGGAGAUGUAGAUUAGUGGCUCAUGCUACGAGUCAUGCAUUUGUAGUUACGCCCACAAGCUUGUUAGCGUCGCGGUCUGCUACAUUCCGUUAGUCUUAAAGUGAACUCUUAAGUGAGAAGUUGUAUUGCUUGUACCCAGUAAACUCUAUAUACCUGACAUGGUGUGAGGCCACUGUUAUUAUAAGGACUACAAAUCGGCAGGAGAGAAAAUAAUUUGAGUUUUAUUUUUACUUUAGAGAUAAUACAACACAGAAACAGGCUCUUCACACAGCACGCGUGCACAUGACAAGAAAGUAUCAAUGGGGUUUAACAAAGUUAACAUGGAUUUAUGAAAUAGAAAUGGUUUUUGAUAAAGCUACAGGAAUUUUUGUUUUGAAGAUACAAGUUGUAGUAUAAGGGAUAACCAAUGGAUGUAGUGUAUUUGGAUUUUUAGAAAGCUAAUGUAGUCCCACAAGAUAUUAUUACCAAAAUGAAAACAUGGGGGAGUGGUAGUACAG